UACGGAGGGGGCUGGCGUUGUUCGGAAUUACUGGGCGUAAAGCGCACGUAGGCGGCUUUGUAAGUUAGAGGUGAAAGCCCGGGGCUCAACUCCGGAAUUGCCUUUAAAACUACAUCGCUAGAAUUGUGGAGAGGUAAGUGGAAUUCCGAGUGUAGAGGUGAAAUUCGUAGAUAUUCGGAAGAACACCAGUGGCGAAGGCGACUUACUGGACACAUAUUGACGCUGAGGUGCGAAAGCGUGGGGAGCAAACAGG
rnacentral:rRNA from 1 species